rnacentral:rRNA from 1 species
UAGGGAAUCUUGCGCAAUGGGCGAAAGCCUGACGCAGCCAUGCCGCGUGAAUGAUGAAGGUCUUAGGAUUGUAAAAUUCUUUCACCGGGGAAGAUAAUGACGGUACCCGGAGAAGAAGCCCCGGCUAACUUCGUGCCAGCAGCCGCGGUAAUACGAAGGGGGCUAGCGUUGCUCGGAAUUACUGGGCGUAAAGGGCGCGUAGGCGGAUAGUUUAGUCAGAGGUGAAAGCCCAGGGCUCAACCCUGGAAUUGCCUUUGAUACUGGCUAUCUUGAGUUCGGGAGAGGUGAGUGGAAUGCCGAGUGUAGAGGUGAAAUUCGUAGAUAUUCGGCGGAACACCAGUGGCGAAGGCGACUCACUGGCCCGAUACUGACGCUGAGGCGCGAAAGCGUGGGGAGCAAACA